GCCCGGUUAGCUCAGUCGGUAGAGCGUGGGACUUUUAAUCCUAAGGUCGUGGGUUCGACCCCCACACCGGGCG
rnacentral:tRNA from 1 species